UACGUAGGCAGCAAGCGUUGUUCGGAAUUACUGGGCGUAAAGCGUGCGUAGGCGGUGCUCUAAGUCUGUCGUGAAAUCUCCCGGCUUAACUGGGAGGGUGCGGCGGAAACUGGAGUGCUUGAGGGUGGGAGAGGUAAGCGGAAUUCCUGGUGUAGCGGUGAAAUGCGUAGAUAUCUGGAGGAACACCGGUGGCGAAGGCGGCAUCCUGGACCGACACUGACGCUGAGGAGCGAAAGCGAGGGGAGCAAACGGG
rnacentral:rRNA from 1 species